GGCGCCGUACCCAAGUGGUAAGGGAGCAGUCUGCAAAACUGCGAUGCAGCGGUUCGAACCCGCUCGGCGCCUCCA
rnacentral:tRNA from 16 species